UUGGUUUCUAUCCUCAAUUUUUUUGUAGUUUUAGUACGAAAGGACCAUUAUUACGAGAUAUUCUUUUUUAUUUGAUUACUUUU
rnacentral:rRNA from 1 species